AUUGAACGCUGGCGGCAGGCCUAACACAUGCAAGUCGAGCGCGAAAACACUUCGGUGUGAGUAGAGCGGCGGACGGGUGAGUAACGCGUAGGAAUCUACCUAGUAGUGGGGGACAACUCGGGGAAACUCGAGCUAAUACCGCAUAAGCCCUACGGGGGAAAGCGGGGGACCUUCGGGCCUCGCGCUAUUAGAUGAGCCUGCGUUGGAUUAGCUAGUUGGUGGGGUAAAGGCCUACCAAGGCGACGAUCCAUAGCUGGUCUGAGAGGAUGAUCAGCCACACCGGGACUGAGACACGGCCCGGACUCCUACGGGAGGCAGCAGUGGGGAAUAUUGCGCAAUGGGCGAAAGCCUGACGCAGCCAUGCCGCGUGUGUGAAGAAGGCCUUCGGGUUGUAAAGCACUUUCAAUUGGGAGGAAAGGUUCACGGUUAAUAACCGUGAGCUGUGACGUUACCUUUAGAAGAAGCACCGGCUAACUCCGUGCCAGCAGCCGCGGUAAUACGGAGGGUGCGAGCGUUAAUCGGAAUUACUGGGCGUAAAGCGCGCGUAGGUGGUCUGUUAAGUCGGAUGUGAAAGCCCCGGGCUCAACCUGGGAACUGCAUUCGAUACUGGCAGACUAGAGUGCGAGAGAGGGAGGUAGAAUUCCAUGUGUAGCGGUGAAAUGCGUAGAUAUGUGGAGGAAUACCAGUGGCGAAGGCGGCCUCCUGGCUCGACACUGACACUGAG
rnacentral:rRNA from 3 species